AGGCUAUUGUGUGGGCAGUGUUUUUAUAAGGCCUUGUAUCUCUCUUAUGCUUUGUAUAGAGUUUUAUCAUCCUUUGUAGUAAACUUGUUGAUGUCGUUUCUGAUCUU